AUUGAACGCUGGCGGCAUGCCUUACACAUGCAAGUCGAACGGCAGCACGGGAGCAAUCCUGGUGGCGAGUGGCGAACGGGUGAGUAAUAUAUCGGAACGUGCCCGGUCGUGGGGGAUAACGUAGCGAAAGCUACGCUAAUACCGCAUACGAUCUACGGAUGAAAGCGGGGGAUCGCAAGACCUCGCGCGAUUGGAGCGGCCGAUAAUCAGAUUAGGUAGUUGGUGAGGUAAAGGCUCACCAAGCCGACGAUCUGUAGCUGGUCUGAGAGGACGACCAGCCACACUGGGACUGAGACACGGCCCAGACUCCUACGGGAGGCAGCAGUGGGGAAUUUUGGACAAUGGGCGCAAGCCUGAUCCAGCAAUGCCGCGUGCAGGAUGAAGGCCU
rnacentral:rRNA from 1 species